UUUUAAAAAAUUAUUUAAAGUUAAGAUUAUAUUUCUUUUAAUUAAAAUAAUUUAUGUUUGAUUAUAUCAAUAGAAAAAAUUUUGUUUAUUAUAGAUCAUUAGUACUGAGAAGGAAUUUUUUAAAAAAAUUAAAAGAAAAUAUAUUUUGUACCUUGUGCAUCAGGGUUUAUUAAAUAAUUAAUAAUUAUAUAUUUUUUUCGAAUUUAAAAGAGCUAAAUUUUUAUUAAUCUUAUUGUUUUAUAAAUAUUUAAAAUAUAAAUUUAGUAAUGAAAUGUUAUUCGUUUUUAAAUAUAUCUAGUUUUUUAAGAAAAAAAUUUAAUUUUAUUGAUAAUUUUAAAUUAUUUUAUUUAUAAGUUUUUUAAUUUAUCAUUAAAUAUUUUAAGGGAUAAGCUUUAAAUUAAAUUUUUAUAAUUUAGUUAAUUUUAUUAUAAUUUAUAGGGUUAAAAAUUUCUAGUAAUAAAAAUUUAUUAAAAUUUGUUAUUUUAUAUUAAUAUUUAUAUUAAAUUUAAUUUUUUUAUUAAAAUUAAAAAUUUAAUAUUUUAGUUUUUGUAAUUAUGAUAAAAUUAGUAUUAUAAUAUAUAUAUAUAUAUAUAUAUAUAUAUAGUUAGGUUAGAUAAAGGAAUUCGGCAAAUAGAUUUUUCACCUGUUUAUUAAAAACAUCUCUUUUUGAAAAUAAUUUAAAGUAGGGCCUGCCCACUGAGUAAUUGAAGGGCCGCAGUAUUUUGACUGUGCAAAGGUAGCAUAAUCAUUAGUUUUUUAAUUGAAAGCUUGUAUGAAUGGUUUGAUGAGAAAAUAGCUUUCUAUAUCUAAUUUUUUAAAAAUUUUAUUUUUAAGUUAAAAAGCUUAAAUUUUUGUGAUAGACGAGAAGACCCUAUAGAGUUUUAUUUUUAUAAAAAUUUAAAUUUUUAGUAUUUAAUAAUUUUAAUUUUUUUAAUAAUUUAAUUGGGGUGAUUGAAAAAUUAAUUAAACUUUUUUUGUAUAAUAACAUUAAUUUAUGAAUUUUUGAUCCAUAUAAAUGAUUAAAAGAAUAAAUUACCUUAGGGAUAACAGCGUUAUUUUUUUUUAGAGUUCUAAUCGAAAAAAAGGAUUGCGACCUCGAUGUUGGAUUAAAGUUAAUUUUAGGUGCAGAAGCUUAAAAAUUUGGUCUGUUCGACCAUUAAAACUUUACAUGAUCUGAGUUUAAACCGGUGUGAGCCAGGUUGGUUUCUAUCUUUAUAAUAUUAAUAAAUUUUAGUACGAAAGGACCAUAUUUAUAAUUUAAAAUUUAGUUAUUGAAUUAAUUU
rnacentral:rRNA from 1 species